rnacentral:lncRNA from 1 species
AGUGAGUCUUAUAUUUGUAUAUCAAUUUGUCUAUUCCAUGAUGGUCUUUUUGUCAGGAAUUCCUGAACAUCCUCUAGUUCACUGAAUAUCUAUUUUUACUCCUGAAGGACUCUAGUCUUGCUGGGUAAGUGAUUCUUGUUUGAAAUCCUAGUUUCUUUGCUUUCUGGAACAUUAUAUUCCAAACCCUAUGCUCCUUUAACAUGGAAGCCACUAAAUAUUGCAUGAUCCUGACUGUGGUUCCAUAAUAUUUGAUAUGUUUCUUUCUGACUGCUUGAAGUAUUUCCUUUUUGACCUGGGAGCUCUGGAUUUUGGCUAUAAUAUUCCCAGAAGUUUUCACUUUGAGAUCUUUCAGGAGAAUCAUUAAUUAGUUUUUUCUAGUUGUGCUUUAUCCUCUAGAACUAAGAUAUCAGUUCAGUCUUCCUUGAUAAUUUCUUGAAAUAAGAUGUCUAGGCUCUUUCUCUGAAUGUGCUUUCAGGUAGUUCAAUAAUUCUUACAUUAUCUCCUUUUGAUCUAUUUGCCAGGUCAACUGUUUUUCCCCCCAACAAGAUAUUUCACAUUUUCUUCUUUUUUCCAUUCUUUUGACUUUUUUUCAUUGUUUCUUGGUGUCUCGUGGAGUUAUUAGCUUCUACUUUCUUAAUUCCAAUUUUUGAGUUCUUUUCUUCAGUAAGAUUUUAUACUUCUUUUUCCAUUUGAUUUGUUUUGAUUUUUAAGAAGUUCCUUUCUUCAGUGACUUUUUAUUCCUCUUUUAAUUGUUAGGCCAAUUCUGUUUUUUAAGGUUGUUUUCUUUUCUUUAGCAUUUUUGUGUGUCUCUUCUACCAAGUUGAUAAUACUUCUUUCUUUCUUUCUUUCUUUCUUUCUUUCUUUCUUUCUUUCUUUCUUUCUUUCUUUCUUUCUUUCUUUCUUUCUUUCUUUCUUUCUUUCUUUCUUUCUUUCUUUCUUUCUUUCUUUCUUUCUUUCUUUCUUUCUUUCUUUCUUUCUUUCUUUCUUUCUUUCUUUCUUUCUUUCUUUCUUUCUCUCUUUCUCUCCUUUCUCUCUUUCUUUUUUCUCUCUUUCUUUCUUUCUCUCUUUCUUUCUCUCUCUCUCUCUUUCUUUCUCUCUCUCUCUCUCUCUCUCUCUCUCUCUCUCUCUCUCUCUCUCUCUCUCUCUCUCUCUCUCUCUUUCCUCUAUUUUUACGCUGUUGGAGACACAUGCCAUGACAGCAACAGAUUCCUUUAAGAAACAUGUAGAAUUUCAUAGUUAGAAGGAAUCUCAAUGGAUAUCUUGUUCACCUUAUACCACCCCCAAAAGAAUUCCCACUAUAACAAACCCAGUAAAUGGUCAUCCUGUCUUUUCUUGAAGUCCUUUUGGGAAGGGGAAGCCACUACCUGAUGAAGAACCCCUUAUAUUUCUGGCUACACCUCUUUGUCUCAUAUGUCUCCUUUGAUAUUAUCAAUCAGAGAAUUGUUGAGCCAAAUUUUUUCAUAGCAAAUUUCAAGGAACUUUAUAUGAUCUUAAGAAAUGGAGGGAGACACCUCCCUGGAGGAGCACCUUAUAAAUUUGCAUUUUCUCUACUUAAUUGAAUGGUUUUAUUCUAGUAGAAAAUAAGGUCAUAGCAGAAUCUUGGAUUUUGUGUACUUUUCAGUUAACUGUAUGAAUAGGGGCAGCUAGGUGAUACAGUUGAUAAAACACUAGACCUGGAGUCAGGAAGACUCCUCUUGCUGAGUUCAAAUCUUGUCACAGACACUUACCAGCUCUAUAAUCCUGGGCAAGUCACUUAACCCCUUUUGCUUAAGUUUCCUCAUCUAUAAAUGAACUAGAGAAGGAAAUGGCAAAACACUCCAGUAUCUUUACCAAGAAAACUCUAAAUGGGGUCACCAAGAGUCAGACACAACUGAAAAUGACUGAACAACAACAAUGACUAUGAAGAUAUGGUCUGUAUAGAAUAUCAUUUGGGAAUGUCUGCCUAUUUUCUUCUCAUCCUUCUUACAGGAAGAGAUCAUCAUAUUCUACAACUCAAGACAGCAGUUAUAUCAGAAACACCAGAGAAACCCUCUGGUGACUAUGGGAAACAGUAUUGUUGACUAGUGAUUGUCUAGGGAUUGGCUAAGAAGUUAUAGUCCUUAGUAUCUGUAGAACUGAGUGAUAUACAGCUUAGUCUUAUCCUUGCUUGUGUGGGCCUGGGGGAGUUCCUUGAAUGACUGCAUUGUGCUGCUUGCUGCAUACCUUGAAAGAGGCAUGAGUGAUUGAGAAAAUACCAGGAAUGACACCAUGUUAGGAACAUAAUGAAUUGUUGAUUCCAAAGAUUCUUAGGAGAGAUUCAUCGAGAAAGGGGACCUUCUGGGAGAUCCUGGAGAGAGAAAGACAUUUUUUUUUCUUUCUUCAAAAAUUAAUUUAUUUAGAAUAUUUUCCCAUAGUUACAUGAUUCAUGUUCUUUCCCUCCCCUCUUCCCUCCCCACUCCCUGAGUUGAUGAGCAAUUCCACUGGGUUAUACAUGUAUCAUUGGUCAAAACCUAUUUCCAUAUUAUUAAUAUUUGAAAUAGUGAUCAUUUAAAAGUCAAAAUUCCCAAUCAUAUUCCCAUCAAACCAUGUGAUCAAUCAUACGUUUUUCUUCUGCAUGAGAAAGACUUUGAAAGCAGAUUAUAGACCUCUGAGCCAUCUCCUGUUUUUGACCUCAAGAUUUAUAAUCCUAGAGACUGCUGAAAUAAGACAGGUGAGAUUGUUCUUGCCCUCUCCUGAUUUAAGCUAAGAUCUUAUCUCAGUUUCAGUUGAGGAACUAAUUUAUUCUUCUGUAUUUCUUGAUAUCUUCUAAUCUUUGGAAUUUCUCCAAUUUCUUUUCCCUGUUUUGCUCGAAUAAAUGGUUUUCUUUGGUAUUCGCUGUUUGUAAU